rnacentral:rRNA from 1 species
UACGGAGGGUGCAAGCGUUGUCCGGAAUCACUGGGCGUAAAGGGCGCGUAGGCGGCUCAUGAAGGCUGUGGUGAAAGUCCAGGGCUCAACCCUGGGAUGCCGGUGGAUACUGUCGGGCUCGAGUCCGGAAGAGGCGAGUGGAAUUCCUGGUGUAGCGGUGAAAUGCGCAGAUAUCAGGAGGAACACCAAUGGCGAAGGCAGCUCGCUGGGACGUGACUGACGCUGAGACGCGAAAGCGUGGGGAGCAAACAGG